rnacentral:misc_RNA from 1 species
GAAGACUCCGCAGUCUUUUAAAAGACAGCCAUAUUCCUCUAGGGUCAAAGCAUCCAACCGAAACAAUGACCGUAUCAGUUGCCAAAGAUUCAGAACUGGAUGUGGACAACGAAGAUUAUUCGGAUUACCCGGAGGAACCGGAUCUAGUGGAAACUGCUGGGCACUCAGAACGAGAUGAAGAAUAUGAUGAAGUUUUCGAAGAAGUACACAAUCGAAAGCUGGACAAAAGCAGAGUGAAAACAGCAUCUAAGGAAAGAAAUGAGUUGGCGAAAAAGUACGCAGAGCAAAACGCAAAGUUGAAACUGAAACUUAAAGAGGUCAAGAAUAACUAUGCUUCAAUGCUCGAGAAAAAUAAAAAGAAAGGUGAAGAAUUUAUCAAGCAAAGUGAAAACUCGAAAGCAGUUGUCGAAAAAACCGUCCAAAUCAGCACUGUUCUCGAUUCACUGCAGAAAGAACGUGAAGAUUUGUCAGAGAUCAGAAAGAAAAACGAGCAGAAAAUUGAAGGACUAUCGCAAGAGUUGAUUGAGGCUUACGGAGAAAUUGAUGCGUUGAAAAUGAACAAUGAGAAACUGCAAGAACAUUUGGGUGAUUUGGAGCAACGUGUUGGACAUUUAAAAAUUCAGCCGGACUAUGAGAGCCUUCCACCAUUAAAGUGAACAUUUUGAUAUUGUUUGUUUUUGUUCAAAGUAUACCUCGACUCGACAUGACCGAUAUUGACAAUGACGAGAACGGCACGUUGCACGAGUUUUCUGAAAGAAGUGUUUUAUCGAAUCUUUCUGAAUUCGAUCAUGUACACCUUGCUGGUGCAUUAGCAGAAAUUGCUGGUGCUCAUUGUGAGCGAUUGCGUAUGAUCACUCAAUCAUAA